ensembl:lncRNA
GAUAACUAGAAACACGGUCUUCUCAGCAGUGGCCCCUUAUCUUUGGAACACCUUAUCCCCAGUGAUUUGAUUGGCACCCUUGCUGGGAAUUUUAAAAAACAAGUUGAAGACUUAAUUCUUUUGGCAGGCCUUCCCCCCUCCCAUUACACAGCUUCCUUAUACCAUCUUGGAUCCUGUUUUCUUUAUUGAUCUUUAUUGCUUUUAUUAACAAAAGUUAUUUGAAUGCUGUUUUUAUCUUUAUAUUCUGUAAACUGCCCAGAGUAGAUUCCCAAAUCUAGAUGGGCGGAGUAAAAAUAGAAUGAAUGAAUGAAUAUUUCCAUGUGACACUAGCUGAAAUCCAGUAACAUAAAAUCACGCCAUAUUAUUAAGUCUGAUUAUGCCCUCAGAUGCAACCAUAUUUUGGUAAUUAAAGUGUUCUUAUCCCUCCUUCAAAGAUCCCUCUGAUCCUUGGGAAUCAUCAGGGGAGAGAGGGAUGGUAGGAGAGACUUAAACCUUGGAAAAACACCAGUCCUAGCCCUGCUAUCUCCAAAGGCUUCUCCAGGAUCCCAGGAACUACAGUACUGAGUGACAGAAUUUUUUUAAUUACCCAAGUAACACUCACACAGCAGAUGAUGACAUUAGCAGACUUACACAGCCUAACUUUACUUUACUGGAUUUUAGCCAUUGUUUCUUUGGCUGAGUGAGUGAUGUGCCAUGGAGUCAGAAAACAGGUCUUUCAAGGUCAGUGGGAUAUUUGACGCUGUUUCCUAUCUCUCCUCAAAAGGCUCCUAGGAAACCUCUUGAGUUUUUCGGAUUCGGAGCCAGCACUUCUGACUCCAUCCACAACAGCACACUGGGUAAAGGCUAAGUCCUGCCCUACGUAUAUACACCACCAACCUAUCUGAAGCCAAGCCUCUACAGUAUAUUAUAACAUAAGAAAAUGGGCUACGCUAAAACGCAGCCUCCCUUCCCGCUCUUUGGGCACACCCGCUCUCUUAUGCUUAGCAAAAAGCGCGUGCUUUCCCAACUAUUCCCCUGUGCGCACGCGCGAGGGGAGGGGGAAGCGUUCCUUCCGGUACCGGGGCGGGGCUACGUAACUAUAAAAGGGCCGCGUGGAAGGUUUUCGUUCUGUUUCAAAUGGCGGCGACGCGUGGUAAGGACACUCCUAUCUCCUUGAAAUGGAGCGUCUGUGCAAGGUAUUCGGUAGUCCUGCGGUCUCUUUUUGCUGGAUGACUCCAGCAUUAGAGUACAUGGCUCUGAUGUGAUUCCCAGGGUGAAAAUCUGCCCAUCAGAGUGAACGCGGCUACCAUCCUGAACGUCUGCUUUCUGAGCAAGGUGAGGGGUUUUUGGCAUUGUUAUCCAAGUGAUACAUCAGGUUCAGUGUGAAAUAUUGAGAAGCGCAUAUGAUGUUCUGUGAUAGUAAACCCUGGGAUGGGGAACAGGGGAUACCCCAAUGAUGUCAGCACUGGGCUCCGAUCACUGUGAUGAUUUUGGUGCCUUCUGGGGACUUGACACUCCAGGAGACUGAGGGGUUCUCUAGGAGUAUUUACAUCGCUGUGUGUCUUGUGUAUUUAAGGCAGACCUGGGCAAAGUGCGGCCCGAGGGCCACAUACGGCCUGCAAGCUGCUCCUGUCCCGCCCGCCGGACAUCAAAAACAUUUAUAGCUUUUUGUCUAAACUUAAUCAGUUGCCUAUGUUUAACAUACCACAAAAACCUCUUUAGUAUUUGUGAAGAUUAACAAGCUUAAAAUAAAAACAAUCAUAACAUCA